ensembl:lncRNA
UAGGCUCUGCAGCGCUGAAUCUGAAAUUCAUUUCCCUGCUGGAGUACUGAGGAUUUUUUGGUAUAACAAUGAUGAAAACGCACAAACGCACAUCCACAAAUCACACAAUCACCCUAGACGGCGGCUAAAACCCAUGUUUUUGUUUGAAAAUGAAAUGUUGCUUCGUCUCCCAGCAGGCCACACUGAAGAUUAACAAACACAAAUCCAACAUAAUUAGAAAAUCCAGAAAUACUGACUUGUGUAGCAGCAGCUCUGUUUGCCAGACACAAAAUGGCACAGAGGCCGACUGUGGUCCAUUUAAUUGCAGAGGAUUUUGGUUCUCGCGUAAACUCGGCACCAGAAAUAAAGAACGACAGCCUUCAAAGGAAACGUGGAGGUUUCAGCCACCUGCUCAGCUCAAGACUUUCACCGCUUUGUAGCUGAGUCACUUUGGAUUUCUGAGCAGUGUGCAUUUAAAGAUGACAUGUUAACAACAGGAAAUUCUCCUGAUUCAUCAAGUGACAGUCCACUGACAACUUUACUCUCCAGUAUGUGAUACAAGCAGUAUCAGGUCUGCACGUAACUAAUAAAUAGAAGUAAAACUUUGACCUCAUCCUCAACAUUUUUUAUUAAAAAACAAAAAAAAAAAACUACAUAAAAAAGCAUAACAAUUUGUUUAAAUAACUUUUUAAUGUUUCCGUUCAUCCAGCCUCGUCUUUAAAAAUUACAUUCUCAUUACCUUAAAUCACAGUUAUUAUGAUGGAAAUUCAUUUAUUUUAAUCAUUCUAUUCUCCCUGUUUGUGAUCCUUAUUGCCACGUUAAGCCAGUCAUAAAACAUACAGAGCUUUGUUGGUGAAAUCUGGCCUCACAGCAAGAAAAAACUAAUCACUAACCACCUGACAAACUCUUUAGAGACACUCUGGUCUUUUUUAUCAUCAAUUCCUUUGUUAGGAAAGAAUAUUUUGUUUUCCUUGUAAUGAAUUCUGAAACAGGAGUGCUUCAUCUCAAAGCGAAAGGACAAAAAAAGGUAGCAACACAUCUCAGUCAAUAAAUCAAUGUAAAGACACAAAACCAGAAAUGGUGUCUAAACAUUUGUUCAAAUAAAAACACUGAAAAAUGGCACCUUACCUC